AGUGAACGCUGGCGGUAGGCCUAACACAUGCAAAUCGAACGGCAGCACAGUAAGAGCUUGCUCUUACGGGUGGCGAGUGGCGGACGGGCGAGGAAUACAUCGGAAUCUACUUUUUCGUGGGGGAUAACGUAGGGAAACUUACGCUAAUACCGCAUACGACCUACGGGUGAAAGCAGGGGAUCUUCGGACCUUGCGCGAUUGAAUGAGCCGAUGUCGGAUUAGCUAGUUGGCGGGGUAAAGGCCCACCAAGGCGACGAUCCGUAGCGGGUCUGAGAGGAUGAUCAGCCACACUGGAACUGAGACACGGUCCAGACUCCUACGGGAGGCAGCAGUGGGGAAUAUUGGACAAUGGGCGCAAGCCUGAUCCAGCCAUACCGCGUGGGUGAAGAAGGCCUUCGGGUUGUAAAGCCCUUUUGUUGGGAAAGAAAAGCAGCAGGUUAAUACCCCGCUGUUCUGACGGUACCCAAAGAAUAAGCACCGGCUAACUUCGUG
rnacentral:rRNA from 1 species